rnacentral:rRNA from 1 species
UACGGGGGGGGCAAGCGUUGUUCGGAAUUACUGGGCGUAAAGGGCUCGUAGGCGGCCAACUAAGUCAGACGUGAAAUCCCUCGGCUUAACCGGGGAACUGCGUCUGAUACUGGAUGGCUUGAGUUUGGGAGAGGGAUGCGGAAUUCCAGGUGUAGCGGUGAAAUGCGUAGAUAUCUGGAGGAACACCGGUGGCGAAGGCGGCAUCCUGGACCAACACUGACGCUGAGUGAGCGAAAGCCAGGGGGGCAAACGGA